AGAGUUUGAUCCUGGCUCAGGACGAACGCUGGCGGCGUGCCUAAUACAUGCAAGUCGAGCGGACCGAGGGGAGCUGGCUCCCUAAGGUCAGCGGCGGACGGGUGAGUAACAAAGGGGUAACCGGCCGGUAAGACUGGGAUAACUCCGGGAAACCGGGACUAAUACCGGAUGCUUGAUUGAACCGCAUGGUUCAAUCAUAAAAGGUGGCUUUUAGCUACCACUUACAGAUGGACCCGCGGCGCAUUAGCUAGUUGGAGAGGUAACGGCCUCACCAAGGCGACGAUGCGUAGCCGACCUGAGAGGGAGAACGGCCACACUGGGACUGAGACACGGGCCAAACUCCUACGGGAGGCAGCACUAGGGAAACCUCCGCAAUGGACGAAAGUAUGGACGGAGCAACGCCGCGUGAGUGAUGAAGGUUUUCGGAUCGUAAAACUCUGUUGUUAGGGAAAAACAAAGCCCGUUCGAAUAGGGCGGUCCCUUGACGGUCCCUAACCAGAAAGCCACGGUUAACUACGUGCCAGCAGCCGCGGUAAUACGUAGGUGGCAAGCGUUGUCCGGAAUUAUUGGGCGUAAAGCGCGCGCAGGCGGUUUCUUAAGUCUGAUGUGAAAGCCCCCGGCUCAACCGGGGAGGGUCAUUGGAAACUGGGGAACUUGAGUGCAGAAGAGGAGAGUGGAAUUCCACGUGUAGCGGUGAAAUGCGUAGAGAUGUGGAGGAACACCAGUGGCGAAGGCGACUCUCUGGUCUGUAACUGACGCUGAGGCGCGAAAGCGUGGGGAGCGAACAGGAUUAGAUACCCUGGUAGUCCACGCCGUAAACGAUGAGUGCUAAGUGUUAGAGGGUUUCCGCCCUUUAGUGCUGCAGCAAACGCAUUAAGCACUCCGCCUGGGGAGUACGGUCGCAAGACUGAAACUCAAAGGAAUUGACGGGGGCCCGCACAAGCGGUGGAGCAUGUGGUUUAAUUCGAAGCAACGCGAAGAACCUUACCAGGUCUUGACAUCCUCUGGCAACCCUAGAGAUAGGGCUUCCCCUUCGGGGGCAGAGUGACAGGUGGUGCAUGGUUGUCGUCAGCUCGUGUCGUGAGAUGUUGGGUUAAGUCCCGCAACGAGCGCAACCCUUGAUCUUAGUUGCCAGCAUUCAGUUGGGCACUCUAAGGUGACUGCCGGUGACAAACCGGAGGAAGGUGGGGAUGACGUCAAAUCAUCAUGCCCCUUAUGACCUGGGCUACACACGUGCUACAAUGGGCAGAACAAAGGGCAGCGAAGCCGCGAGGCUAAGCCAAUCCCACAAAUCUGUUCUCAGUUCGGAUCGCAGUCUGCAACUCGACUGCGUGAAGCUGGAAUCGCUAGUAAUCGCGGAUCAGCAUGCCGCGGUGAAUACGUUCCCGGGCCUUGUACACACCGCCCGUCACACCACGAGAGUUUGUAACACCCGAAGUCGGUGAGGUAACCUUUUGGAGCCAGCCGCCGAAGGUGGGACAGAUAAUCCCCCAUGGGGUGAAGUCGUAACAAGGUAGCCGU
rnacentral:rRNA from 2 species